ACAAAGGCUCUUCUAAGAGCCACCCACACCAUCCACGAGAGAGCUG
rnacentral:ncRNA from 1 species